AGUGAUUAGGGUUUGAUUCUGGCUCAGGAUGAACGCUGGCUGUGUGCCUAAUACAUGCAUGUCGAACGAAGCACUUGUGCUUAGUGGCAAAUGGGUGAGUAAUGCGUACAUAAUCUACCUUUUAGUUUGGGACAACUUUUGGAAACGAAAGCUAAUACCGAAUAUGUUUAUUUAAAGGCAUCUUUUUAUAAAUAAAGGGGCUUUCAAGCCUCGCUAAAAAAUGAGAGUGCGUCUUAUUAGUUAGUUGGUAAGGUAAUGGCUUACCAAGACUAUGAUAAGUAGCGGAGUUGAGAAGCUGAACCGCCACACUGGGACUGAGAUACGGCCCAGACUCCUACGGGAGGCAGCAGUAGGGAAUAUUCCACAAUGAGCGAAAGCUUGAUGGAGCGACACAGCGUGCAGGAUGAAGGCCUUAGGGUUGUAAACUGCUGUUGCAAGGGAAGAAAAAAGAUAGUAGGAAAUGAUUAUCUCUUGACGGUACCUUGCCAGAAAGUACCGGCAAACUAUGUGC
rnacentral:rRNA from 1 species